GACGAACGCUGGCGGCGUGCUUAACACAUGCAAGUCGAACGGAAAGGCCCUGCUUUUGUGGGGUGCUCGAGUGGCGAACGGGUGAGUAACACGUGAGUAACCUGCCCUUGACUUUGGGAUAACUUCAGGAAACUGGGGCUAAUACCGGAUAGGAGCUCCUGCUGCAUGGUGGGGGUUGGAAAGUUUCGGCGGUUGGGGAUGGACUCGCGGCUUAUCAGCUUGUUGGUGGGGUAGUGGCUUACCAAGGCUUUGACGGGUAGCCGGCCUGAGAGGGUGACCGGCCACAUUGGUACUGAGAUACGGCCCAGACUCCUACGGGAGGCAGCAGUGGGGAAUAUUGCACAAUGGGCGGAAGCCUGAUGCAGCAACGCCGCGUGCGGGAUGACGGCCUUCGGGGUGUAAACCGCUUUCGCCUGUGACGAAGCGUGAGUGACGGUAAUGGGUAAAGAAGCACCGGCUAACUACGUG
rnacentral:rRNA from 1 species